CUCGCCAAGUCGGAAAUGCAAAAUCGCGUCCCACGUGACGAGGAAAGCAAAACGCCAAGUCGUAUAUCGCUGACUCACUCGCUCCACAACACGUCGUUGCAAAAGAGAAGCAGGCACACAACCAUGGCAAUUGCUUCGCACCGCCUCAUCUCCAGCUCCUACUCACCCACAGUAACCGCCAUCUCAUCCUUCCCUCCAAAAUCAAAAACCCUAAUUUCAAAUCCGAACGCUUCCCCCAAUCUUCAACUCCCAAAACGCAGUCGUAGAGACGUCGCUUUGCUCUCCCUCGUCGCUCUCAUCCCUUCGCUCUUCCGACCCGACGCGGCAUCCGGAUUCUCCUUCGGCAUUUCAGGACCAAAGGAUUGGCUCCGCGAGCAGAAGAAGAAGGCCUCCAGGUUCCUCCUGGCCCCGAUUGAUGCCUCCCGAGAGAGCCUCGUCGCGGCUCAUCGACUACUCACGGCUACGGAUUCGGAUUAUACGAACAAGGAGAUGGAGGAGGUUCGGAGAUUGUUUAGAUCUGCCGCGAGGGAUUGUGUUAUAGAGGACAGGAACUCGUUUGUUGCAUUUCAAGCCAAUACAGGCGUUGAGGUUUGCACAUUCCGUUUGGUUGUAAAGAACGCAUCAUCCUUGCUUGGUGAUAAGGAUCCUGUAAAAUUGGAAGCUGAGUCUAUUCUAAAUGAUCUUGUAAGAUCAUUCACUUCUCUUAAUGGUCUGGUAAAUGAGACUGACUUUCAAUUUGCCACUGAAAGAAAGAAGGUUGCAGAUUCUCUCAUGGAUACCUUAUCAUCCCUAGACAAAUUUGAGCAAGGAAUCAAGGACUGCCUUGACGCUUGACCAAUUUGUAGGAAAAAAACUAUCUAGUGGAUAUCGUGCUUGAAAUUCUGUAGAUGCAUAACUACAAAUAUUGAUGCUGCCUACUCCUCCUAUGCUGCUUUAGUUUUGAGCUGACACUUUUGAUCAGAUCAUUAUCACCUGUUGGUCCAUGUGGAAUGGUAUAAUAGGUUGAAUCAGAUGGCUAAACCAAGCGGU